CUUUCAAAGAGGGAGUUGGAGAGAGACCCGUCUGAGCGGAGUGCUUAGGGGAGACCUCUCCCCUUAGAGAAGUAGGCAGCCCUCUCCCCCCACCCCCACCCCCAGCCACAAAGAUAGGGAGGGGGCGCCAGCUGCCCACUCAGCCAGUGUCUCCCCUGAGCGCCCGCAGCGGACUUGGGUCGGAAGGGGCUGCUUCACCCCUCUGGGCCUCCAUCUCCUUUCCUGGAGGACCAAGGGCCACCGGUGCUCACCCCAAGGAGUCCCCAUGGGCAUCGGGCGAGAUGGGGCAGGCGGCGGUGCCUGGCGCCCAGGGAUGCUCACAGCAGGGGGACAAAGCCAGGCUAAGACCUCUCCCAGGGCCAGGCGCCCUCAGCCAGGGCCCCCUCAGCUUCCCCUGAGCCCGAGUUCCAGCUGCCAGGAUGUGAGCUGGCUCUCCUCGGCAAGCAAAGCCGCUGUAGGUGAGUUUGCCCAGAGAAAACCAGGGGCCUCCCCCGAAUACUCUCCAAACGGACCCCGUGCCCUCUCACGCUGCUUUCCCACUGCACAGCUGCAUUCCUGGAGGAUGACUCGGUGCCAAGGCGUUUUUAAUAGAAACGACCCUGUGGUCCACAGCCACCCCGGGAGGCGGAUGGGCCGUCAGGAGAAGGUCAUUUACAAAUGUGGAAACAGGCAGGAGGACCUGGCGGCCGGGUUCUAACCAGGCCGAGUCCCCACUGCAAACCCUGGGGCCGUGACACUCAUCUCAAAACCCUCGCUGUGUCCAUUGCUUUCUCGCCUAAAACGUUGUAAAAGGAAAAGCAACCCCUUUCUCGAAAGUCUCGGAUGGUUUGUUUGAUUAUUCUGCUCUUUGAGACAAAUAAUGGGAGAUUUAGACAGUUUUUUUUUUUUUUUUAGUUUCAUGUCUUAACCUAAUAUCCUCCAAUGUCAUGUGAUAAUAUCAGAAACUGGGAGCUUUUCUCUUAUGCUGAGUCAAAUGCUGAGAACAGAAAGGAACCAGCUCUAAAAAUCCUUUGCAUUCACCGACUUCUCUGCACGAUGGUGGCCACUCUUGCUGCGAAAAUGCUUCUACUUACGCCCUUUGUGCUAAGUGGGAUAGGGUCCGAUAUUUAAUGACUUACUCCCCAAAGCUUCAAGGAGCCAACACUGGCCCAAUGAUGAUAGAAGCCAUUGUGACAGGUGACACCGCGACGGGAAAACCAGGCAGAUGCCUCACCAGUGCCCUACGCUCUGGUUUGCUCUCUGAGCCCAGGGCCUGCUUUAGCGCUUGUCACGUAGUAGAUGCUUAAGCAGACCAGCCAGCGGCCUCUUCUCCCCGGAGGUGGGUCCCCUCUGGACAGGUGCCUCUGUGCCCACUUCACAGGCGGGCAGGCUGAGGACAGAAGAGUGCCCCAACUCCCCAGGGCCAUGCGACCUUUCAAGGCCACUGUGCCUGUGAAGUUAGCCUACCUGUGGGGGAGGGCAGGAGCGGACCUGAGCAAGAAGGAAAUACUCCCAGAGAAUGGAAAGCAGAGAGCAGCGGUCUGUGCCAGGUGCCCGGAGGUGGAAGGCCUCGUGACCCCGCACCCUUGAACUCGAGCGUAUAAGGUGCCAGCCUGGAGGAGAGUGGCGCUCAGGAUGCCAGAAUGCCGCCGGUGCAAAGCCGCUGCCUGUCCCGUUACGAGGCCACCCCCAUGGAGCCCUCCAGGAACCAACCCGAGACCCAGGAGUGCCUGCCCCCGCUGCCCCUGCACUUCUGCAUGUGCCCUCACUGCCAGGGGAGCGGCUUCCUCCCACCUCUUUUUGCAAAGUGCUUUGCCCAAAGUUUGUGCACUGUCUCCGGGUGCCCUGGUCCUGCAGGUCGUAACCCAUUAGUGGGUCACGAGGUCAGAGGAAGGUGAGACGUCCAUCAAGGGAAAAGUACAACAGGGCAGAACAGAAUAGACCAGUGCACAUUCCACGUGGAAGGAAGGGGCUCCGUCUCUGAGACAUUUAUGCGGUUGUGCACGUGUGUGCGUCUGUGUGAGUAUGCAUGUGUGCACGUGUGCAGCUUGGGCACGUGAGUCAGGGCUGCAGCAUGCUGCUGUAGACAGGGACACAGAACAUAGCGGCUCAACAAGCUAGAAUGACACUUCCCUCUCCCACGGACCCACCAAGGUGGGCAGGGGGCCGGGAGAGCAAACUCUGGGGGGUCGUGUAGACCCAGACUCCUCCCACUCUGCCCCCCUCCCUGCCCCGAGUGAGACCCUCACCAGCCCCACUAACCCCCGCCUCAGGAGGCCGUGGGGAGGGAGGAAGGGGAGGCAGGUGUUUCCGUUUCCAAGGACUGGCCGGAGGGCGCACACGGCUCCUCCCAUAGGCUGCCGGCGGAGCCUCGUCCCCAGGUCACACCCACUUGCCAGGAGAGACUGAUGGGAAACGCAGCCUUCCCGCUGAGCGCCCAGGCCCCACCCAAACUCAGCUAACAGCGGGCCAGGGAGCAUGGGGCCGGGGAGCACCCUCCGCUGCCCCGGACAUUCUUGCUGGGUGUGUCUGAGACUGUUUGAAGCCAUCGCCUUAUGGACACUCGACCUGUGGGAAACCCCAAGGUCUCCCAAUCUCGUAGAAAGGGCACGGCUGGUCUCCCGCACAGCUCGCCUGCAGUCCCGGUCAGCGCUAAGUGUCACACGCACCGGACGCUCGGCCUCCCGCCCCUCGGCACCGCAGCCGGGAGCCGGGGACGCCUCGAGCAGAGUGGGGUCAUGACCCCCCACACAGGGGUCAAGGGGCAUGAUGACGGGCUGCAGGUAAAAACCGUGGAGCUCCGCUUUUCUCGAAAUCCUCUCUCCCGGGGCUGAAGAGGCGCUGGAGACGGGGCCAGCGAGUCAGCCGAUAAGAGGCUGUGAACUUCCCUUCCCACUCUGAGCAGCCCGACCAGGCGGUGGAUUUCAUGAGAACAGCUCUCUCCUGAGCAUCUCCAGAUGAUCCCAUGGAAAUGCUGCUAUCACCGUAUCCGGGGUUAGACCAGGUCGUCUUCUGAGAGCCCCUAACCUCUUGCCACUCUGAUAACCAGCAGGCCGGGAACUGAAUCCAGGUUGGUCCAUUCCAAGCCACCAGCCUUCUCCCCUUCCCAGAAGUCCAGGAGGCAGGGGUCAGAGUGCAGCCUGCACUUCACUUCGCCCUGUGUGGAGCCCAUGACUCAGGCUCCCUGCCCUCCUCAGCCUCUCCUCUGUAAGAAGCGGGCCAGUAACAGCCCCCUCCCGGGGUUUAUGACCAAACGCGUCCAACUUUCAGGACAGCACAAGACAUGCUGGCUGCCAUGGCCACGGUGCUUCCUAUUCCCACGGAUGUGCCGGGUUCUUUCCUCUGAUGAGCCCAAGGUCUAGGUCAGGACUCCACGCAGGGCGCACUCCGCACCAGGUCCACGCUGAGGCACAGCUGCUGUCCCCUGCCCUCUCCACUGUCUGGGUGGAGCCGUGGAAGCCUCACAGGCCUGGCCAGCUGAUGGCCGCUGCCGGGUGAGCCUUGCUGCCGGCUUGGCGUGGGCGUGUGGGGGUCUUUGACCUUCUGCAAGAUGUGCAGCUUUUCACAGAAACGGAGGCCACCUUUGCAAUCUGGAAAAUAUCUAAUUGCCUCUCACAGGUUCGAAAGCAGCCCCCCCACGCCCCCACGGAGGGCAGAGGCCUCCCCAAGCCAGGAGAGCCUCUGAUUGGCCCUGGCAGGGUGGAGAGAGGGUCAGAUGCUGCUCCUGCUGUGGGGUCAGGCGGAGCCCUCGGGAGGGCGGGGGUGGCGGUGUACAACAGAUGAGAUGACUUCGUGCCCCGAUAAGGAAGCACAAAGCCCCCUCGUGCAGAGGAGGCGGCGGGAGGGAGGGGCCUUAGCGCCCCAGCACAGUGCCUGCCUCACUCUCACAGCUGCGUCGAGUCCGCGAAGCCGCUGAUGCCCCGCCACGUGGCACUCCCGGCCAGUUCACGGGCCUUGCUUCAGCUCGAGGCUGAGAGGCCUGGCUCCCUGCUCCCAGCACUUAGCGUCCAAAUUUCUGGUGUCCUGGGAGAAGCCCAGCAUAUCCCCUCUGGUGCCUUCCCAACCGGAGCCACGGGCAGAAGGCGCCGGAGACAAAAAGGGGCCCAGAAGGCGUUUUCAGAUGGAAGGAGAGGGAAAUCUCUUUUCCAUUUCUCCAUGGAGGACCCAAGGAUAAAGCUGAUUACUGCUCGCCCUCCAGCUCCGGGACGCUCCAACCUGCAAACCACAGCCUGAAAGAGAAACCUCUGCUGCCAGAGGUGCUGAUGGGGAAACGAUUUAGACCUUUGAAAGUUAAGCAAGGGGUUUAUCUUUGGGUCUUAAAUUCGGCAGAAAGGUCAGGAUAGAAAUGAGGUCUCCCCCCAAAUGCAAGUCUGAUCUAUCGUUACCGUGCUGGACACGGAAACUCAAGCCGAACAGCCACGUCUGUGCCUUGCGGGCCCCUACACAGGAUCUCAGGAUCGCCUGAUGUGUUAGGAGGUGACUCGGAGUAAAAGCUCUCUUGGGGGACUCAAUCAGGCCUGGGUUUAGAUCCCAGCUUGGCCCCUCUUAUGAUCUGGGCCACUUCUGUGACUCUCUGAGCCUCAGCUUCCUCCUCUGGGAAAUGGGCACACAACCACCCUGAACAGAACCUUUUGAAAGUGACAGGCUCCGACAUGAACAGGGACCCACCCCAGCAAACCAGGGCUGUCUCGGGAGUCAGCACCCAGAAUGCGCUCCAAGAACGCCACCUCGGCUUGGGGCCUCCCGUUCUCAAGCCCAGGUCCUCUCGGACACCCCCUCGCAACUCUGAAGUUUGUUUUGGUGGCCAGUGGCGGAGACAGGGAGGGUGGUUCCUACUCUGACGAGGCAGGUGAGCUGACCCUGGAGCAGAGGCUACCCCGUUUUAUGUGCCUGUUGCGGACGUGAGGUGGGGCACUCCCUUCGGCGACAUCGGAGUGGAGCUGCUGUCCCAGAGGCGUCCAGGGGGCGUUUUGCAGACCCUCCCUGGCCCCGGUCAGGCCCUGUCUGCAGGGCCCAGCAUCUGAGAAGCCCCUUGGAGCUGGCGGCUCGUCGUCGGCCGCCUUCCUCCGGGCACCACGCUGACGUUUCUCCUUCACCAUCUUCGAAGCUGCCCGUCCUUUUCAGGAGAAGAAGGCAAGGCCGUGGUCUGACGUUCCAGGAACCCCUGAAGGAGGAAUGCGGAAAAUCCAACGGGCUGGGCCCCAUCCAGCGGGUCCUCCGGGGAGAGAAGGGAUUUCGCAGGCUAAUGGCUGGGCCUCCGACGCUGACAUCUUCUUAUGAUGUACUUAAGUCCGGUUUGUUUUGCUUUCUGUCUCCACAACAAUUACCGAGAUUUAUUUUUUAUUGCUCCGGUUCACUCUGCCAGGACCACACUUCCUUUUCUCUUUAAAGGAACAGCCACCCCGCAUGGAGGGGCCUAGGAAGUGAGCAUUUUCAAUUGCAAAAAUGAAAAUAAACAAGGCUGCACGCCUCUUCUGGAGCAGGCCGCUGCUUCCCCGGUGCGCAGUGCCAGAGGGGCUUCUGGCUCUUCUCUGCUCGACACAUGGGUUCACCCCGCGACUCCGCUGCAGCCCCUGUGAGGCCGGUUGUCACAGAGACACUGUCUUCCCUGGGGGCUCCUCAGAGGACCCCCGGGAGCUCAAAGGCACUUUGUUCUCAACGCCGGGUGACGGGGAAGAGGAGUGUGAGUUUCCCAGUGCUGCUGUGCCUUUCCAAGGUGCCAGUUUGGACUAAGGGCCCCGUGGGUGUCUGGUAUCUGGCCUGGCCCUGUCUUUCCUGGGAGGCCCUCUGCUAGGAAGGUGAAGCGCCCUGCUGGUGCCAUGCGGCGAGGCGGGGCCAUUCCAUGGAGGGAGAGGGAGCACCAGGGCCAGGUGGGCACCGUCCCUCCAGAUCCUGGCUGUGGGACCCGGGAAAGGCACGCCCCCUCUCUGAGCCCUGGUUUCACCCGGGAAACCCCUGCCUGCUUGGUGGCUGUGAGCAUCCCCGAGACCACGGUGGCAAUGGGCUUGCCAGCCUGGCCAAGGUGCCCGUGAUAUGAUGAAUGGCGUGUAAUGAAUGGCUGCAUCUUGAGACAGGAGAUGGACCUGGAUUCUCCGGGUGGGUCCCAUGCAACGACAAGGGCCUUCUAAGAGGGAGGCAGGAGGUCAGAGUCACAGGAGGAGAUGUGACGACAGAAGUAGAGUGACAUGGGCCCACCAGCCAAGGGAGUGGGCGCCUCGAGAAGCUGGAAAAGGCACAGGAACGAUUCUCCUCUGGCGCCUCCAGAGGGAACCAGCCCUGCGACACCCUGACCCGACCCAGUGAGACCCACUUCUGACCUGCCGACGGUGAGAGCCCACCUGUGUCCUUUAGGCCUCUAGGUCUGUGGUCACUCGCUCCAGCAGCGCCAGGAAGGGAGCGCAGUGCCGGAAGCGGCCAUCGCAUCAUCAGCAGUGGGGGCGAGCCUGCCCCCCGGCUGCUCUCAGGCUCCACGUUGGCCUCCCAUGCCCUGGGAAGGCACGCCUGUCCCUCCAUGCCCUCGUUCCCUCAUUCAUUCCUUCCUGAGCACCCAGAGUCCGCGAGACUCGCUGGGCCGAUGCCCCCUGCCCUCGCUUGCUCCCCCAUCUUGGGCGGAGCCAGAGUUACCUUCCAAAACCAGGUCAGGCCACACCCCCUCUGCCUAGGCCCCGUCCCCGUGUCCUGGUCCUUCCUCUGCCCUCCCUCUGGCUCUGCCUCCUGGCCCAGGGCACCCGUGCCAGCUGCUGCCCCUCGGUGCAUGUCUCCCCCCGGGGGUGGGGAGGGGGGACACUGCCUCCCCCUCUUUGGGUCUUUACUCUUCUGCACCUUCUAGCCAGGCCCUCUCGAGCGCCCUCUCCCCUCUCCUGCUUCAGCCCCGUCCCUUCGCAACCCCCACAUUUUCCUCUUAGGCAUAUGCUUUCCGUCUCCCCGCUGGAAGUAAGCACCUUCAAGGCAGAGGUUUUCACUGAUUUGUUCCCCGAGGUAUCCUCAGUGCCUGCACACAGCAGGGACUCAACAAACAGUUGCAGAAUAAAUGAACACAGGCUACGGUCUUUAAAGCCAGAUUCCGAGCAGCUCUUCAAACUCUUCUAGAGUCUCAGCAUUUCAUGUUCUACUUGCAUUGGCUGCUGGCUCUUCUGGAAACACAGCUCUUGUUCAGGCCUCUGUAAUUCUGCACAGGUGAACUCCUUCUCGGCCUGGUGAACUCCUAUUCGUCCUUCAAAACCCAGCUCCUUUGCAGACCUUCCUCUAAAUCUUUCAUUCCCGCUGUUUGGUUCCCACCGCCCCCCCCAUGCAUUUCUAAAACACUUCAUGCUUCCUUUUAUUGGCGAAUUCAUUGUUUAGAGUUUGACUUUUUUUCCUCUUUUUCUGGCCGCCCUGUAGCAUGUGGACUUCCCGGGCCAGGGAUCAAAUCUGAGCCAGAGUGAAAACAUUCACCACAGCUGCGGUAACACCAGAUCCUUAACCCACUGCAUCAGGCAGGGGAUUGAACUCGCAUCCCUGCCACUGUGGAGACACCACGGAUCCCAUUGCACCACAGCGGGAAUUCCAGAGUUUUUUUUAAACCCAUCUGUUUCCCUGAUCAGACUGUUAAGAUGACUCUUCCUUGUUUGUUUCCUGUGCCAUCUAGAGACUCCCUGACUCACAGCAGAUGAACAGAAACACUGAGUGGAUGGAUGGACGGAUGGGUUGGGUGGGUGGGGACAGAAACUCUGUCUCAUUGGACUCUGGGUCUUACUCACGGAGCACAGUCUCUGGUACCCAGUAGGUAUCCAGGGAACUCUCUCACCCGUGAGGACAGGGACGUAGCUCUGCUUUGUCCACUGCUGCGAUCCCGGUCCUAGAGCAGCGUCUGGCUCGUAGCAGGCACCCGGAAAUGCUUGACGAGUGAGUGCAGAUGGGCACCUGCUUCCACCAGCCCUCUCCCCGAGGUGAGCGAUGGCCGGGGCUGCAGAAGGCGAAGGGGCCUCUAGCUGCCCUGAGGUCUCUCCCUCCAGCCUCACACACACGCGUCCACACAGAUCAGAACAUGUUUGAUGGGGGGAGAGGGGAAGGGGUCUCUGAGGCCAAAUCUCCCCUUAAAUAAGGGCACCACUCACACUGCAUGAGCGCCCACCCUAAGGACCUCAUUUUAAAUAGUCACGUCUGGAACCCCCGCCCCCCGCCCCAUUUGCCCGAUGGCCACGCUCCCAGGCUCCCGGUGGAGACUUCCACACAAGAAUCCAACCCUAUCGCCCUGGCAGGACCCGCAUCCGUCCGUGUCCACCGUCACGAACGCCUCCUUCCUCCAGCUGCCCGGGCACUUCCACGUUCCUCUUCUACGUGUGCCCUGAGUUUAAACUCCGUGCAGGCAGGGAGCUUGGUUUGGCUGGUACGCUGCUGUGUCUCCGCACCCCCGAAUCACGCCUGGCACAUAGUAGGGGCUGGAUAAAUGUUUGCUGAAUGAGUGAACGUGAGACCCGCCUCCCGCGUCCUCUGUUAGACUGUGCGCCCGCCCAGGGCAGGUCCGCGGUGGCUCUCUCGGGGCAGAUACUCGGCGAAUGCUUGGGGAGUAGAAUCACUCUUUGGGCCAGCAGCGAAAUUUCCUGUGACUCAGUAAAUCACUUUAGCUAAUGAAGGAAUAACAAUCCCAGAGGAACAGAAGUUUCAACUAUGCAGAUUAUUUCUGAGUUUUUAAAAGUGUCUCUUCAAAGAAAUAAGUCCCCAGGGACUGCCGGCUCUCCAGAAAGCCUGACUUUCCACUCUCUUAAGCAGCUCAUGUUGGCCCCGAGACAAGAUCCAGUUGGUGGUUUUAAUAAAUAAUGCUUUUUGUGCUACGAGAGUAACAUUGAGCAAAUGUACAGAAGUAGAAGGAAUUAAGAAAAAAAUAACCCUCCCGCCACAGACAGCCAGGUUGUUAACAUGUCAUUGUAUUUCCUCCCG